AGCAAUCACCACUCACUCUCCCUCCCUUAGGCCUCCCCCAGUUCCCAGGCCCUGCUGGAGAAACCUUGUGAAAGCCCAGCCCAGGAAGGGAAUUCAUCAAGCCACCUCCAGACACAGCCUCUCCUUUGGCUUCACUCUUGGCCUUCCAGCUGUCACAUGGGCAGCUCAGCGUGGGCAAAGUCCAGGAGCUGAUGAUGUCACUUGUGUGGUGAGCACUGGCCUUGUAGACCCCUGCACUCUUGUUUUGAAGAAAUAGAAGACUAAUUGAAAGAAAGAAAGAAAAUAAAUAAAUAAAAAAAAAACAACUUGUAUGCAUAAAGAGAUUCUCAAAUUUUAUUUUCACUAGACCCAAAAAGGCAGGGGGCAGUGUCCCAGGAAAGAUGAAGUCCAUUAUGGAGCAUCAUUUGACAACAUAUAUUUACCUUUCCAUAAAUAUUUCUUGAAUGUCUACAAUCUACUGGCACUUGUAAGACCUGUGGCUCAAAAGAGGGCUUGCUGGGGACUAGGCUCUGAGCCAUGUGUGUCACAUAUAUCAAGUCAUCAAGUCCUUAUACCGAUCUCCAACCCCUCCCCACCCAUGGGGAAAGAGCAAUUAAUAUUCUCUUACACAGAAAAGGAAGGUGUAAAUUCCCUCCCAAAGGAGGGGCAGAAGAACAGCCCCAACAGGCUCCAGAGCUUAUGCUCCUGCCAUUCAAAACAAAGGCCAGUGCAUGGGUUUUUUAUGUGGCUGUGACAAAUAACCACAGACUCAGUGGCUUAAAACAACUCUAAAUUUGAGACAAUACAUUUUUCAUCUUACAUGUCUAUAGGUUAGCAGUCUGAAAGGGGUCUCACAGGACUAAAAUCAGUGUUAACAGAGCUGUGUUCCUUUCUGGUGACCCCAGGGGAAAAUCUGUCUUCUGUUUCCAGCUUCGAGAGGCUGCCUCUAUUCCUUGGCUUGUGGUCCCUUCUUCCAGCCUCAAAGCCAGCAGUGUGGCAUCUCUGGUUUGUCUCUUCUGGACUCAUCAUUACAUUGGGCUCACUUGGAUAAUAGGAUGAUCUUCCUAUCAUAAGGUCAACUGAUAAACCUUAAUUCCAUUUGCAAUCUUAAUUCCCCUGUGCCACAUAACCUAAUAUGUUCACAGAUUCCCAGGUUUAGGAUAAAAAGGGCAUAGAUGGGGGAAUUUUUCUGUGUGGUAGCAACUUUACUCAAAAAAUCUUGAUUGAAUAUAUUUGUGUUUCAAGCACUAGUUUAGGCACUGCUGGGAUUAAAAAAAAAUUUCUGACCAUGUACAGCUUAUACCUUAUUGAGGGAGAUGGAAAAUACACUAAAGAAAUGAGUAAAAUAUCUGGCCUAGGUGGUAACAAGUGCUAAAAUGAAAAAUAAAGCAGGGAAGAAGUACGUGUAAAUUGUUAUUUUGGACUGUGUGCUGGACAUCUACCCUUGUGCCCAGCUCUGUGCCUGGAGCUGACUUCAGAAGCAGCAUGAAGGGGCUCCCUUAUCCUCUGGCUUCCUGUUGGAUAUGGCUGAUGGGAAGCACCUUUAGAAGACUGAAGUGUAGAAGGAAAGUGAGGUUAGCCUCUUUCAUCCCCCUCCCCAAGGCCUCAGCCCCUAUAGGAGGCUUUUACCUGCACAGUGCACCUGGCUCUGAGAACUCCUCUCUUUCUUCACCCCUUUAGGCCUCAGAAUGGUAACUCUGGCUGGAUGUACUAGCCCUGAGGGGCACUCAUUAACCCUUCUGCCCACACCUUUGUAAAUAGUAUGUUAUUAAAAUCUCCUUGGAUUGUCCAAAUUGGAGGUUACCAUCUUCUUACCAAGAAGGCCUCCUAGUAACAGAUAAAGCCCCAAAGAAGGUGAGGCAGGAGGCAUGCAGGUGCCUGGAAGAGCAUUUGGGGCAGAGGUAUCAGCCCUCAGGUAAAAGCACCCAUGAUAUGUUUGAGAGACAGCGUGAAGCAGGUUUAUAUGGCUGGAGUGAACGAGGAGUGAGGGAGUGACAGAGAUGAGGUCACAGGGGUGCCUGGGCUAGGGGAAGUCAGAUAAUAGAAGGCCUUUGAAGAAGAUGCUGCCAGCGCCCCCACUUGUCCUUCAACAUUCCCCUUCAGACAGCCGCAGACCCCAUGGCUUCCUAGUGUCCCUGCAACUCCUGGUCUGAGAGUCUUUUUUGAGCAGGUGUCACAGACCCCUGCACAUGGGGCAGGCCAAGGAGUUAAUGGCACUGGGAGUAGCUGUCAGUCAAUAUGGAGUUGGUGAAUAGAUACCCAGUGUUUUGCCUCUUGCAUUUGACAAUUGCAAGACACACUCAAGGCAAUUUCUCAGACAUCCCCAGUGGGGCUGAGCUCCAGUUGCCCACAUGGUAAUACCCUUGUGGACAUGUUUCCUUCAUUCCUCUGUUUCUCCCCAUAUACCUGCAAGAAUCACCUCUUAAAUGAACUUUUUUUUUUUUUUAACUAUGUCCUGUCAGGUGACGCAUGGUUUCUAUUUGUCCUGUAACUGAUUACUUUGGUUUGACUAUGUUUUAAUUGUGUCCUCCCAGAUGUUCAUGUGGUUGAAGACUUGGUUUUCAGGAUGGCAGUACUGGGGGAGAUGGAAUUUUUCAGAGGCAAGGCCUAGUGUAAGGACCUUGGGUCAUUGGGGGCAUGACCCAGGAGGGUUUAGGCAGCUCUUUGGGAACUCUUGGGUUCUCCUGAGAAGGCAAGCCUGGCCCCAUCCAAUCUCCCUCUUCUCCUGAUUCAGGAUAUAAUCAUUUGUUCCUUCAUGCAGUCUUGUCAUUGCCAGAUGUAUCAUAAAGUGAUGCAGCCAAGGGGAAGUACCUGUGCUACGUCAUUUGAACUUUCAGCCUCCAAAACUAUGAGCUACAUAAACCUCUUUUUUGUCGCAAGUAGUCUGUGUCAGAUAUUCUGUUAUAGUGAUGGAAAGGUAGCUAAUCCACAUGUGAUAUUCACUUUGAUCACUAGAUUAAGAUACUCUGCACCAGCCUUCUCCAUAAACUUACUUCUUUCUUCUUAGUAAUUAAUAAGUAUAUGGUGGUGGUUACUUUGAAGCUAUGUAAAUACCCCAUUCCUCAUCAAAUUUCCCAUUUAUUCACUUGUCUGUUGACAUCAGUGAAUCCUUAUUCAUUAAUUUCUGUUAUUCCCAAUGGGUUGUAAACUGCUAUUUUCAUUAUUUACUUUGGUACUUCAGUCACCCCAGUUGGCCAGUGGGAUCCCUUUUAUUGUUGGCUUUCUUCUCUUAAUAUGUGUCCAUCUUUUUUUUUUUUUUUAAGUAUUUCCUUCCUGCCACAAGCUGUUUCGGACUCAUUUUAUUUCCCCCCCAUCCUGCCCCAUCCUGUCAGCCCCUCCUACAAAAAACUCUGGUUCCUCUUGCUGGAGAACAGUAUUUAGAAACCAAGAGAAGGAACUAGGUGUGCUCAUUGCUGUUGGGGUGUCAAUUCUCCCAGAUCCCCUCACUGGAAACCACUAGGGAAUAUACGUGUGUGUAUAUCCACAUGAUUUUAUGCAUAUUUGUUUCUAUACUGCUAUGCUUUUAGAAAAUCAUGAAUUGUGGCCAAUACAAACCUAACACCACACAUUUCAGCCCAAUGUUCUCCUUUUUCCUAUUCGUGUCUCUCCAACAGUGAGAAGAAAUAUGGCUCUCAUAUCCUUAAAAUAGCCUGUUGCUGCCCUCCCCAUGUCAUCGAAGACUCAAACACCUUCCUCAUCCUGCUCCAGCUCUGACUCAUGGACUCCCUCACAGCACUAUUCAGAGGCCACCAAACCCUCAUCCUGCACAGAGCUGAUCUCCUGGAAAGGUGUCCUCCUCACCUCUCAGCUUGCAAACCAUCCUGGACCACUGUCUCUACCUCCCCUGCUCAGUCCCACCUAAUAAAAUCUGAAUUGUUUAAGAGAGAAAGAGGAAGAAGAACUUUAACAAAACAUCAAACACAGGGCUGGGGUUGUGGCUCAGUGGUAGAGCACUUGCCUGGCACACGUGAGGAACUGGGUUCGAUCCUCAGCACCACAAAAAAAAUGAAUAAAUAAAGGUAUUAUGUCCAUCUACAAUUAAAAAUAUAUUUUAAAAAACAUCAAACAUAAAGAACAGGUUAACAAAUCAUAUACAUUGUAUACAGCUACAUUUUGUUAAUAAAAUAAAUGUAGGGGCUAGGGGAGUAGCUCAGUGGUAGAGUACACAUUUAGCAUGAUAGAGGCCCUGGGUUUAAUCACCAGUACCAAAAGCAAUGUUUUUUUAAUUUUAUUUUUUAAUUGACACAUAGUAAUUGUACAUAUUUGUGGGCUACAGUGUGAUAUUUCAAUACAUGUUAUAAUGUAUAAUGAUCAUAUCAGGGUCAUUGGCAUGUCCAUCAACUCAGAUGUUUAUAAUUUCUAUGUAGGGAACAUUCAAAAUCUUCUUGGCUCACUAUUUUGAAAUAUACAAUUAUUGUCAACCAUAGCUCUCCUCCUGUGCUGUAGAACAUUAGAAGCCUCUCCUCUUACCCAGCUACACCCCUGUACCCAUUAACAAUCUUCUCUCCAAAUCCCCUUCUCCACACUUUUCCAUUUAAAGAUUUUACAAGGAAAUUAAGACUGUGGGAAUCAUACUAAAAUACUAAAAUUCUAAUUGCUAUUCUUGUAAGUUGAAAUGAUGAAGUUUCUUUCCUUUUCCCCAUUUUUCAAGUUAUCUGUAAUAUAGUACUUUUCAGUUGAUAUACAUAUGUAUCAAAGGGAACAUAAUUUAAAUUGCACUUUCUAAAUCAUCUCGAGCUGUGUACAGGAUGCUCAGGAUUUAUGCUGUUGGUCCAAGAAGGUGAUCGUAAUUUUAACAGAAGAUCUGAAGAAGAGCAGGUCUAUUCAAAACAAAUGUGGAUCAGAAUGCAAAGUUCUCAUGAAUGUUAAAAAAUAAAACCUGAC
rnacentral:lncRNA from 1 species